rnacentral:rRNA from 1 species
CAGCCGCCACGGUAAUACGUAGGGUGCGAGCGUUAAUCGGAAUUACUGGGCGUAAGGCGUGCGCAGGCGGUUCGUUAAGACAGAUGUGAAAUCCCCGGGCUUAACCUGGGAACUGCAUUUGUGACUGGCGAGCUAGAGUAUGGCAGAGGGGGGUAGAAUUCCACGUGUAGCAGUGAAAUGCGUAGAGAUGUGGAGGAAUACCGAUGGCGAAGGCAGCCCCCUGGGCCAAUACUGACGCUCAUGCACGAAAGCGUGGGGAGCAAACAGGAUUAGAUACCCCCGUAGUCCCUGUCUCUUAUAC